UUAAGCGACUAAGCGUACACGGUGGAUGCCCUGGCAGUCAGAGGCGAUGAAGGACGUGCUAAUCUGCGAAAAGCGUCGGUAAGGUGAUAUGAACCGUUAUAACCGGCGAUGUCCGAAUGGGGAAACCCAGUGUGAUUCGUCACACUAUCGUUAACUGAAUACAUAGGUUAACGAGGCGAACCGGGGGAACUGAAACAUCUAAGUACCCCGAGGAAAAGAAAUCAACCGAGAUUCCCCCAGUAGCGGCGAGCGAACGGGGAGCAGCCCAGAGUCUGAAUCAGCUUGUGUGUUAGUGGAACGGUCUGGAAAGUCCGACGGUACAGGGUGAUAGUCCCGUACACCAAAAUGCACAGGCUGUGAACUCGAAGAGUAGGGCGGGACACGUGGUAUCCUGUCUGAAUAUGGGGGGACCAUCCUCCAAGGCUAAAUACUCCUGACUGACCGAUAGUGAACCAGUACCGUGAGGGAAAGGCGAAAAGAACCCCGGCGAGGGGAGUGAAAAAGAACCUGAAACCGUGUACGUACAAGCAGUGGGAGCACCUUUAUGGUGUGACUGCGUACCUUUUGUAUAAUGGGUCAGCGACUUAUAUUCUGUAGCAAGGUUAACCGUAUAGGGGAGCCGCAGGGAAACCGAGUCUUAACUGGGCGUUAAGUUGCAGGGUAUAGACCCGAAACCCGGUGAUCUAGCCAUGGGCAGGUUGAAGGUUGGGUAACACUAACUGGAGGACCGAACCGACUAAUGUUGAAAAAUUAGCGGAUGACUUGUGGCUGGGGGUGAAAGGCCAAUCAAACCGGGAGAUAGCUGGUUCUCCCCGAAAGCUAUUUAGGUAGCGCCUCGUGAACUCAUCUUCGGGGGUAGAGCACUGUUUCGGCUAGGGGGUCAUCCCGACUUACCAACCCGAUGCAAACUACGAAUACCGAAGAAUGUUAUCACGGGAGACACACGGCGGGUGCUAACGUCCGUCGUGAAGAGGGAAACAACCCAGACCGCCAGCUAAGGUCCCAAAGUCAUGGUUAAGUGGGAAACGAUGUGGGAAGGCACAGACAGCCAGGAUGUUGGCUUAGAAGCAGCCAUCAUUUAAAGAAAGCGUAAUAGCUCACUGGUCGAGUCGGCCUGCGCGGAAGAUGUAACGGGGCUAAACCAUGCACCGAAGCUGCGGCAGCGACACUAUGUGUUGUUGGGUAGGGGAGCGUUCUGUAAGCCUGCGAAGGUGACCUGUGAGGGUUGCUGGAGGUAUCAGAAGUGCGAAUGCUGACAUAAGUAACGAUAAAGCGGGUGAAAAGCCCGCUCGCCGGAAGACCAAGGGUUCCUGUCCAACGUUAAUCGGGGCAGGGUGAGUCGACCCCUAAGGCGAGGCCGAAAGGCGUAGUCGAUGGGAAACAGGUUAAUAUUCCUGUACUUGGUGUUACUGCGAAGGGGGGACGGAGAAGGCUAUGUUAGCCGGGCGACGGUUGUCCCGGUUUAAGCAUGUAGGCUGAUUAUCCAGGCAAAUCCGGAUAAUCAAGGCUGAGGUGUGAUGACGAGGCACUACGGUGCUGAAGUAACAAAUGCCCUGCUUCCAGGAAAAGCCUCUAAGCAUCAGGUAACACGAAAUCGUACCCCAAACCGACACAGGUGGUCAGGUAGAGAAUACCAAGGCGCUUGAGAGAACUCGGGUGAAGGAACUAGGCAAAAUGGUGCCGUAACUUCGGGAGAAGGCACGCUGGUGUGUAGGUGAAGCCCCUGCGGGUGGAGCUGAGACCAGUCGAAGAUACCAGCUGGCUGCAACUGUUUAUUAAAAACACAGCACUGUGCAAACACGAAAGUGGACGUAUACGGUGUGACGCCUGCCCGGUGCCGGAAGGUUAAUUGAUGGGGUUAUCCGUAAGGAGAAGCUCUUGAUCGAAGCCCCGGUAAACGGCGGCCGUAACUAUAACGGUCCUAAGGUAGCGAAAUUCCUUGUCGGGUAAGUUCCGACCUGCACGAAUGGCGUAAUGAUGGCCAGGCUGUCUCCACCCGAGACUCAGUGAAAUUGAACUCGCUGUGAAGAUGCAGUGUACCCGCGGCAAGACGGAAAGACCCCGUGAACCUUUACUAUAGCUUGACACUGAACAUUGAGCCUUGAUGUGUAGGAUAGGUGGGAGGCUUUGAAGCGUGGACGCCAGUCUGCGUGGAGCCAACCUUGAAAUACCACCCUUUAAUGUUUGAUGUUCUAACGUUGGCCCCUGACCGGGGUUGCGGACAGUGUCUGGUGGGUAGUUUGACUGGGGCGGUCUCCUCCCAAAGCGUAACGGAGGAGCACGAAGGUUAGCUAAUCCUGGUCGGACAUCAGGAGGUUAGUGCAAUGGCAUAAGCUAGCUUGACUGCGAGCGUGACGGCGCGAGCAGGUGCGAAAGCAGGUCAUAGUGAUCCGGUGGUUCUGAAUGGAAGGGCCAUCGCUCAACGGAUAAAAGGUACUCCGGGGAUAACAGGCUGAUACCGCCCAAGAGUUCAUAUCGACGGCGGUGUUUGGCACCUCGAUGUCGGCUCAUCACAUCCUGGGGCUGAAGUAGGUCCCAAGGGUAUGGCUGUUCGCCAUUUAAAGUGGUACGCGAGCUGGGUUUAGAACGUCGUGAGACAGUUCGGUCCCUAUCUGCCGUGGGCGCUGGAGAAUUGAGGGGGGCUGCUCCUAGUACGAGAGGACCGGAGUGGACGCAUCACUGGUGUUCGGGUUGUCAUGCCAAUGGCACUGCCCGGUAGCUAAAUGCGGAAGAGAUAAGUGCUGAAAGCAUCUAAGCACGAAACUUGCCCCGAGAUGAGUUCUCCCUGAGACUUUAAGUCUCCUGAAGGAACGUUAAAGACGAUGACGUUGAUAGGCCGGGUGUGUAAGCGCAGCGAUGCGUUGAGCUAACCGGUACUAAUGAACCGUGAGGCUUAACCUU
rnacentral:rRNA from 1 species